rnacentral:rRNA from 1 species
AAGAUGAGAGGUGAUUCCUGCCCAGUGAAAUUUCAACGGCCGCUUAUGUGCUAAGGUAGCAUAAUAACUUGCCUUUUAAUUGAAGGCUUGCAUGAAUGGAGUUUUAGAUUGAGGCUUUAUUCACACCACCCAUAAAACCUAAGAUUUAUGUGCAAACUCAUAAAUAAAAAUAAAAGACCAAAAGACCCCGGGAACUUUAAUUUUUCUAUUUAUUGAUAAAUACAAAAUUUACACUGGGAGAGUGCGGGAUAUACAUCCCCAAUAAUACAAAAUUCACCUUUUAAAUCAAUACUAAAGCUACCCCGGGGAUAACAGGCUACUCUUUUUUCAAAGCCCAAAUUUACAAAAAGAUUUAGCACCUCGAUGUUGGCUUAAGAGUAAGUAAAAUGUAGCAGUUUUACUUAAUGGCUUGUUCCGCCAAUAAUUUCUUACGUGAUCUGAGU